rnacentral:lncRNA from 10 species
CCCCGCCCCCAGCGCACACUGCGUCAGCCGGACUUGCUCUGCAGCUGGGUUCUUUGGAGGCCCCCACUCCGCGGCUACUGAAGCGGAUGACUACACCUGGAUCUCCCGAGGGCAUCUCCUAAUUCCUUGAUAUCCCGGGGCCUAGCACACGAUGGAUACUCAGCACUUCUAAGCUGAGUUACUGCAUCUUCCUUUGCAAGGUCUCACGCAGUCCCCCAUCGUCCUCUCUUUGUCUUGGUGCCCACCACCUCCUUCACCACCAUGCAGACCCUCCCCACCCCUCACCACAGCACUGCCUCGGUCAUCAACCCCGCUUCCCGCCUUUCAUCACUGCUACUGUCAGGCUGAAGAGUCACAGGAGGUUCCUCACUGUAAAGAAUGGAUUCUGCGCUCCUUAGAUUAGCAUUCCGAGAUGUCCAGGUGCAGCCCUACACCUAUUUCCAGCCUUGCCUCGCCUCUGGAGCAGGCUUUAUAAACUGCGCCGCGUGGCCCUUCCUUUGCUCUCUACUUCCUCUUCGUGCUCUCCCAUCUUACCUCUGAGCUUUACCUACUUGUCUUACUCCAGUUUCAGCACCUCGCUCAAAAGCCACGGCUCUCACGAGUUUUCCCUCAAUUCUGAGCCUAUGUAUUUCCUUGCUCCAAGGUUUGUGGCAAUUUAGCACUUGCCCAUUGUGUCCUGUAUCAUAAGAUUCUGUGUACUAACUUUCUUCUUCAAGGAGUUAAAAACACUUUCAGAGAAGGGGCAUAUUUUGUUCCGAUUUGUAUCUCUGACAGUAUCAAUCAUUCAAAUAAAUGUUCAACCAA